rnacentral:rRNA from 1 species
UACGAGUGCCCCGGGCGUUAUCCGGAAUUACUGGGUGUAAAGGGUGCGUAGGUGGCGGUAUUGGUCUUUUGUGAAAGCCCCGAGCUCAACUUGGGAAACGCAAAAGAAACGGUACUGCUAGAGAGUGUGAGGGGUCUAGGGAACUCAUGGUGUAGGGGUGAAAUCCGUUGAUAUCAUGGGGAACGCCAAAAGCGAAGGCACUAGACUGGCACAUUUCUGACACUCAAGCACGAAAGCGUGGGUAGCGAAUGGG